AUUGAACGCUGGCGGCAUGCCUUACACAUGCAAGUCGAACGGCAGCACAGAGGAGCUUGCUCCUUGGGUGGCGAGUGGCGGACGGGUGAGGAAUACAUCGGAAUCUACUCUGUCGUGGGGGAUAACGUAGGGAAACUUACGCUAAUACCGCAUACGACCUACGGGUGAAAGCAGGGGAUCUUCGGACCUUGCGCGAUUGAAUGAGCCGAUGUCGGAUUAGCUAGUUGGCGGGGUAAAGGCCCACCAAGGCGACGAUCCGUAGCUGGUCUGAGAGGAUGAUCAGCCACACUGGAACUGAGACACGGUCCAGACUCCUACGGGAGGCAGCAGUGGGGAAUAUUGGACAAUGGGCGCAAGCCUGAUCCAGCCAUACCGCGUGGGUGAAGAAGGCCUUCGGGUUGUAAAGCCCUUUUGUUGGGAAAGAAAUCCAUCUGGUUAAUACCCGGGUGGGAUGACGGUACCCAAAGAAUAAGCACCGGCUAACUUCGUGCCAGCCGCCGCCGUAAUAC
rnacentral:rRNA from 1 species